rnacentral:rRNA from 1 species
AUUGAACGCUGGCGGCAUGCUUUACACAUGCAAGUCGAACGGUAACAGGCCGCAAGAUGCUGACGAGUGGCGAACGGGUGAGUAAUGCAUCGGAACGUGCCCAGUCGUGGGGGAUAACGCAGCGAAAGCUGCGCUAAUACCGCAUACGAUCUAUGGAUGAAAGCGGGGGACCGUAAGGCCUCGCGCGAUUGGAGCGGCCGAUGUCGGAUUAGGUAGUUGGUGGGGUAAAGGCCCCCCAAGCCAACGAUCUGUAGCUGGUCUGAGAGGACGACCAGCCACACUGGGACUGGGACACGGCCCAGACUCCUACGGGAGGCAGCAGUGGGGAAUUUUGGACAAUGGGCGCAAGCCUGAUCCAGCAAUGCCGCGUGCAGGAAGAAGGCCUUCGGGUUGUAAACUGCUUUUGUACGGAACGAAACGGUUCGGGUUAAUACCCUGGGCUAAUGACGGUACCGUAAGAAUAAGCACCGGCUAACUACGUGCCAGCCGCCGCAGUAACAC